UAUAUAGGAGGGAGGGGGAGGGCUAGCCUUGAGGAAGAAGGCCUCAAGGGUGCGUCGGCCAAUGGAGGACUCCUCCUCCUCGAGUUCGGUUUGGGAAGGAGGAGUCCUCCUCUUCCUUCCCACCUCCCUCUUUCCCUUUUUCUUUUAUUUUCUUUUGGUAUUUUCUUAUGUGGCAGCAUGGGCCCCUUGGGCUGACUCCACCAGCCCACUAAGGACU
rnacentral:lncRNA from 1 species